rnacentral:rRNA from 1 species
CACAUGCUGUGAACUCGAAGAGUAGGGCGGGACACGUGGUAUCCUGUCUGAAUAUGGGGGGACCAUCCUCCAAGGCUAAAUACUCCUGACUGACCGAUAGUGAACCAGUACCGUGAGGGAAAGGCGAAAAGAACCCCGGCGAGGGGAGUGAAAAAGAACCUGAAACCGUGUACGUACAAGCAGUGGGAGCCUCUUUAUGGGGUGACUGCGUACCUUUUGUAUAAUGGGUCAGCGACUUAUAUUCUGUAGCAAGGUUAACCGUAUAGGGGAGCCGAAGGGAAACCGAGUCUUAACUGGGCGUUAAGUUGCAGGGUAUAGACCCGAAACCCGGUGAUCUAGCCAUGGGCAGGUUGAAGGUUGGGUAACACUAACUGGAGGACCGAACCGACUAAUGUUGAAAAAUUAGCGGAUGACCUGUGGCUGGGGGUGAAAGGCCAAUCAAACCGGGAGAUAGCUGGUUCUCCCCGAAAGCUAUUUAGGUAGCGCCUCGUGAACUCAUCUUCGGGGGUAGAGCACUGUUUCGGCUAGGGGGCCAUCCCGGCUUACCAACCCGAUGCAAACUACGAAUACCGAAGAAUGUUAUCACGGGAGACACACGGCGGGUGCUAACGUCCGUCGUGAAGAGGGAAACAACCCAGACCGCCAGCUAAGGUCCCAAAGUCAUGGUUAAGUGGGAAACGAUGUGGGAAGGCACAGACAGCCAGGAUGUUGGCUUAGAAGCAGCCAUCAUUUAAAGAAAGCGUAAUAGCUCACUGGUCGAGUCGGCCUGCGCGGAAGAUGUAACGGGGCUAAACCAUGCACCGAAGCUGCGGCAGCGACACUAUGUGUUGUUGGGUAGGGGAGCGUUCUGUAAGCCGUUGAAGGUGUGCUGUGAGGCAUGCUGGAGGUAUCAGAAGUGCGAAUGCUGACAUAAGUAACGAUAAAGCGGGUGAAAAGCCCGCUCGCCGGAAGACCAAGGGUUCCUGUCCAACGUUAAUCGGGGCAGGGUGAGUCGACCCCUAAGGCGAGGCCGAAAGGCGUAGUCGAUGGGAAACAGGUUAAUAUUCCUGUACUUGGUGUUACUGCGAAGGGGGGACGGAGAAGGCUAUGUCAGCCGGGCGACGGUUGUCCCGGUUUAAGCAUGUAGGCGGAGGUUCCAGGUAAAUCCGGUACCUUGUUAACGCUGAGGUGUGAUGACGAGGCACUACGGUGCUGAAGUGAUAAAUGCCCUGCUUCCAGGAAAAGCCUCUAAGCAUCAGGUAACACGAAAUCGUACCCCAAACCGACACAGGUGGUCAGGUAGAGAAUACCAAGGCGCUUGAGAGAACUCGGGUGAAGGAACUAGGCAAAAUGGUGCCGUAACUUCGGGAGAAGGCACGCUGAU